GGAGGGUGCAAGCGUUGUUCGGAAUUACUGGGCGUAAAGCGUGUCUAGGCUGGAGCGUAAGUCAUGUGUGAAAGACCUUGGCUCAACCAAGGAAUUGCGCCUGAAACUGCGUUUCUUGAGUAGUGGAGAGGUGAGUGGAAUUCCUAGUGUAGCAGUGAAAUGCGUUGAUAUUAGGAAGAACACCAGAUGCGAAGGCAGCUCACUGGCCACUUACUGACGCUGAAGCACGAAAGCGUGGGUAGCAAACAGGAUUAGAUACCCUGGUAGUCCCACGCUGUAAACGAUGGAUACUAGGUGUCGGAGGAAUUGACCCCUUCGGUGCCGGCGCUAACGCAUUAAGUAUCCCCGCCUGGGGAGUACGGUCGCAAGAUUAA
rnacentral:rRNA from 1 species